rnacentral:sRNA from 1 species
CAAUAUAUAGGCUAAUUAAUACAAUAAAUGAAUGGUCUACGAGGCAUUCAGGCUUCUGAGCUGUCUUGGGAGAUUUCAGGGUAGCAGGCAGACUCUGAAGGACAGCCUGCACUGACCCACACUUCUACACAGGGUCAUUCAAGCCCGCUAGUACUCUCCCUUCCUCUUCUGAAACACAUCUCAGUUAAGUACGGAAUCUUAGCAUGGGUCUUUUGUAUCUCAGAGGAGCACUUGGGUGGCUUAUACAACAUUUUAGAACUUGACCUUGAGUGAAAGAUGAUUCUAUGAGAUUGUUGCUCAAAGGUAUCGAGGUCCUGAAGGAGCAGCGAGAAAGUCUAGGAGGACGAACAAGAAGUGAGUGAUGCUUCCUGUGCUACGUUUUCAAGAACAGUGGCUGAGAUCAAAUAGGAUUCAGACUCGAAUCCAGUAGAUUACAAUUGAUUUGAUCUUCAGUAAAGCAGUUUUUUUCUUCCCCUUCAGGAAAAAAAAAUUAUAAGGGCAGCAAUGGCGGUAGCCUGGAAUGAUUGAGGGGACACUUUAUGGGAUCUCACUGGACAACAACUCAAAAGAGAUGGGCAUUCAUCUAGGUCGCUGCCAUUUUCUGGCUGUUAUGAACAGAGG